CCGGGCACGGGUGAGUAACACGUAUCCAACCUGCCGUCUACUCUUGGACAGCUUCUGAAGGAAGAUUAAUACAAGAUGGCAUCAUGAGUCCGCAUGUUCACAUGAUUAAAGGUAUUCCGGUAGACGAUGGGGAUGCGUUCCAUUAGAUAGUAGGCGGGGUAACGGCCCACCUAGUCUUCGAUGGAUAGGGGUUCUGAGAGGAAGGUCCCCCACAUUGGAACUGAGACACGGUCCAA
rnacentral:rRNA from 1 species